GACGAACGCUGGCGGCGUGCUUAACACAUGCAAGUCGAACGGAAAGGCCCUGCUUUUGUGGGGUGCUCGAGUGGCGAACGGGUGAGUAACACGUGAGUAACCUGCCCUUGACUUUGGGAUAACUUCAGGAAACUGGGGCUAAUACCGGAUAGGAGCUCCUGCUGCAUGGUGGGGGUUGGAAAGUUUCGGCGGUUGGGGAUGGACUCGCGGCUUAUCAGCUUGUUGGUGGGGUAGCGGCUUACCAAGGCUUUGACGGGUAGCCGGCCUGAGAGGGUGACCGGCCACAUUGGGACUGAGAUACGGCCCAGACUCCUACGGGAGGCAGCAGUGGGGAAUAUUGCACAAUGGGCGGAAGCCUGAUGCGGCAACGCCGCGUGCGGGAUGACGGCCUUCGGGUUGUAAACCGCUUUCGCCUGUGACGAAGCGUGAGUGACGGUAAUGGGUAAAGAAGCACCGGCUAACUACGUG
rnacentral:rRNA from 1 species